CAGAUGAUCCUCAUGCACUCAAAGGUGUAUCAGACAUAUUUCCAUCAUCAUUUGCCUGAAAUAAUAAAUUAAAAACAUUUAGUUGAAACAAUACAAAAAGCAUUGAUAAUUACUGCAUUAUUAUAUACACUAAUUAAGCAUGUACAAUUAACAACAACAUGUAGACAAAAUAACAUUGAGAUUUUAUAACUAGAUAAUAUAAUCCAGACUAGUAUAGACAAUUAAUUUUCAAAGUAUUUGAGGUGUGCUUAGGCAAGCACUAUUACACCCACAUAUACCUUAUCAGUCCCAAUAAUAUGCCAAACAAUAAUAUUCCCAAACAACAAUAAGACUUGAAGACAGAGAGAAACUGAAAAAAUCAUGUAAAUGGGAAACAGUUCCUAUAAUGCUUCAAAGCUAUUCUAAAACUAAAGAAAAUUUGGGGAUUAUCAUCAAAUAAAGAACCUAGCUAAGUAAAAAAUAAAAAAUCAAAGGCUAGAAUUACAAAAAUGACAAAAACAUCUAAUAAAUAGUUAAGUAAUAAUAUAAAGUAAGUUAUACUGAGCAUACCCAAGCUCACGAGCAAAAUGUAAUACAAAGGCACCAAGGCAAAGGUCUACAUGGAGACAAAUAACAAAAUAUGAGUACAUCCCUAUUUAGUUUGUUUAUUAUUAUUAUUAUUAUAUUAAGCAAAACAGAAGCAGGAUACAUAGAUUCAUAAUGUAACAACAAUAUCACAUACUCACCAAACAACAAACUAUCUAGAAAUUUGAAGGUCCUCCUCUAUUCUCUGACCACCAAUUCCUCUCAACAAAAUAGCCUAUGCACAAAAAUGGAGCAAAGGAACUCAUUUAAGAAAUUGGUAAUCAAUAUAUCAUUUCACCUAAAGAUAAAGUUGCUCACCUGUGCAUCUUUAUCAAGUGUUUUGCUAAUAUCAACCUCAGUUAGCCAAAUGGGAAGCUCCAGUGUUGCAAA
rnacentral:lncRNA from 1 species